UAUUUAAUCCACCAAAACCCAUCUCCCAAAUUCAUCCACGUACUCCCCUGUUUUCAUCUCUUCAAUUUCUUCUUCUCUCUAAAGAAUCUCCCCCAAAUUCCCCAAUCCCCGUUUCUUUUCUCAUCAUUUUCCAUGGCGGGUAAUGGAGUUUUUGCAGAGAUUCUCGACGGUGAAGUUUACAAAUACUAUUCCGAAGGUGAGUGGAAGAAAUCCUCCUCCGGGAAGAGCGUCGCCAUUAUCAACCCCACUUCGAGGAAGACGCAGUACAGAGUUCAAGCUUGUAACCAAGAGGAGGUUAAUCAAGUGAUGGAAAUAGCCAAAACUGCUCAGAAAUCAUGGGCUAAGACUCCAUUGUGGAAGAGAGCUGAGCUUCUUCAUAAAGCAGCUGCAAUUUUGAAAGAACAUAAAGCACCCAUUGCUGAGUGUUUGGUGAAGGAAAUUGCAAAACCAGCUAAAGAUGCAGUGACUGAGGUUGUGAGGUCUGGGGAUCUUGUUUCAUAUUGUGCUGAAGAAGGUGUUAGGCUCUUGGGAGAAGGGAAGUUCUUGGUUUCUGAUAGUUUUCCUGGAAAUGAAAGGACCAAAUAUUGCCUUACUUCCAAGAUCCCACUUGGUGUGAUCUUAGCCAUUCCUCCAUUUAACUAUCCUGUCAAUCUGGCUGUCUCGAAAAUUGCACCGGCUUUGAUUGCUGGAAAUUCGAUCGUCCUCAAGCCUCCAACUCAGGGUGCUGUUUCCGCUCUUCAUAUGGUGCAUUGCUUCCAUCUUGCUGGUUUUCCUAAAGGCCUUAUUAGUUGUGUCACUGGUAAAGGUUCUGAGAUUGGUGAUUUCCUCACGAUGCAUCCCGGUGUAGACUGUAUAAGCUUUACUGGUGGAGAUACUGGUAUUGCGAUUUCAAAGAAGGCAGGCAUGAUACCUCUUCAAAUGGAACUAGGAGGCAAAGACGCCUGCAUUGUUCUCGAGGAUGCAGAUCUCGAUUUAGUCGCUGCAAACAUCAUAAAGGGAGGCUUUUCUUACAGUGGCCAAAGGUGCACCGCCGUCAAGGUUGUUUUGGUAAUGGAGUCCGUAGCAGAUGCUUUGGUUGAGAAAGUAAAUGCCCGGGUGGCUAAACUAACUGUCGGUGCCCCGGAAGACGACUCAGACAUUACUCCAGUCGUGACCGAGUCGUCGGCAAAUUUCAUCGAAGGGUUGGUAUUGGAUGCAAAGGAAAAGGGAGCAACAUUUUGCCAAGAGUACAGAAGAGAAGGCAACCUGAUAUGGCCCUUGUUAUUAGAUAAUAUUAGACCUGAUAUGAGGAUUGCAUGGGAAGAACCCUUUGGACCAGUUUUACCGGUCAUAAGAAUCAGCUCCAUUGAAGAAGGAAUCCACCAUUGCAAUGCUAGCAACUUUGGACUUCAGGGAUGUGUCUUCACAAAAGACAUCAACAAGGCGAUAUUGAUAAGCGACGCAAUGGAAACCGGGACAGUUCAAAUCAACUCUGCGCCCGCUCGAGGACCCGAUCAUUUCCCAUUCCAGGGAAUCAAGGACAGUGGAAUUGGCUCUCAAGGAGUGACCAACAGCAUCAACAUGAUGACCAAAGUGAAGACCACAGUGAUCAACUUGCCAACGCCUUCCUACACCAUGGGUUAGUUUGUUUGUCUGUUAGCUUUUAGGAGCCUGCUAGCUAGCUCGCUAUCUGCCAUAGCCUUAAGCUAAGUAUAGUUCUUCCCUUAUCUUCCCCUUUGUGUAAUGAAAUUAAUAGCAAGUAGCUGAGUUGUAUGCAUGUUAAUUAUUGCCAUUUGAUUGGCUCCCUUUGUGUGCUUGUUGUUAGGAACCAAGUCUGUUAGUAUGAGAGCCAUAGGGUCCAAAUUGUGAGUGGAUUUCAGAGUGGGCAGAAAACAGUGCUACAAAUACGAAAAGCCCGAAGAUGUUCACGUUCGUAUCUUUAAAAGUGUCUAAUAAGUCUCUAAUCUUUUAAUUUUGAGUCUAAUAAAUUCAUGAACUUUCAAUUUUG